rnacentral:tRNA from 1 species
CGUCCUGUAGCUCAGUUGGCAGAGCACCCGUUUGAAGCGCGGGUGGCCCAGGUUCGAGUCCUGGCGGGACGG